GACGAACGCUGGCGGCGUGCUUAACACAUGCAAGUCGAACGGAAAGGCCCUGCUUUUGUGGGGUGCUCGAGUGGCGAACGGGUGAGUAACACGUGAGUAACCUGCCCUUGACUUUGGGAUAACUUCAGGAAACUGGGGCUAAUACCGGAUAGGAGCUCCUGCUGCAUGGUGGGGGUUGGAAAGUUUCGGCGGUUGGGGAUGGACUCGCGGCUUAUCAGCUUGUUGGUGGGGUAGUGGCUUACCAAGGCUUUGACGGGUAGCCGGCCUGAGAGGGUGACCGGCCACAUUGGGACUGAGAUGCGGCCCAGACUCCUACGGGACGCAGCAGUGGGGUAUAUUGCACAAUGGGCGGAAGCCUGAUGCAGCAACGCCGCGUGCGGGAUGACGGCCUUCGGGUUGUAAACCGCUUUCGCCUGUGACGAAGCGUGAGUGACGGUAAUGGGUAAAGAAGCACCGGCUAACUACGUG
rnacentral:rRNA from 1 species